UUUGAUGCUAAUCGUGUGUCUUGCUAUAUUUAUCCGAUCUUUUUUCUUCCAUUGGUUCUUUCUUUAGCAGCUCAGUUUCCAGACUUGGAAACAAACGAUAAAGGCGUGGAAGAAGGUAUAAAAGACCAUUAGGUGAAUACAAUGUGUAUAUAUAAGGGUUAACUAUUGAAAAAUGUACCAAUAAAUGAGAUUGUUUUCGGCAAUCUUUGUGUCACAAGAGAAGGUAGGAUGAUCAA
rnacentral:lncRNA from 1 species